GAUUUUGACAUAGGGAGGCAAUGAGAACGACCCUUUCCUUCUGGUGGAGGUUGCUGAGCAGGGGUGAUAUGAGCUUCUCAGUCUGUUCAAGCUGCUAUAACAAAAUGCCUUAGACUGGGAGGCUUAAAAACAACAGACAGUUAUUUCUCCCAGUUCUACAGACUGGGAAGUUCAAGAUAAGGUGGCAGCAGAUUUGGUGUCUGGUGACCACCUGCUUUCUGGCUCAUAGCUUGCUACAGUUUGAAUGUCCCCUCCAAAACUCAUGUUGAAACUUAAUCCCUAAUGUGGCAGUGUUGAGAGGCAGGGCUUUUAAUAAAGGCAAUUCUGUUUGCUGCAAAGAAUCAAGAGGCAAACCUGUAAGACUCAGGUGAAAAGACAAGGAAAAUUGGAACUUCUUUUUCUGUUCUGGGAUCUUGUUUUGAAUGUUGCUUAAAACGACCGAGUCUUACUCAGACACUGGCAACCAUUUCGCGCAGAAGAGAUUUCUGCCAAGACAAGAUGCAAAUUGUAGAUUGGACCCAUUGGUUUUGGAGUCUGGGGAUAUGCAGAGGCUAUGCAGAGGGGUGCUGCUCAGCUCAGCACCCCUGGUUUUCUGGAUGGAGUCGGGGCACCAGCUGGCAGGCAGCCCAGCACAGCUCAUUUUUUGAAAAACCAAAAUGAAACAGCAACACCACCAACAACAUAGCAUCAUCUUGAACAGAAAAAUAUAGCAAGGAGCUGGGAGACAGAUUAAGCAAUUCAGGAGCUAGGAUGACGUGUGGGAAUUUUAGACUGUUUCAUCCCAUUAGCAAAGAUAAAAUGCAUACAUUUCACAUAAAGUCAUGUGUUGUUAACACAAAUUUAUAAUUCUAUUGAAGGUCAAUAAAAUGCUUAAUACAAUAUUCAUGUGAUUAGGAAUUCCCAUGUUGCAGAGGCUAGAAGGACACUUCUACUCUCAGGCUGAGGGUCUGGGCUUCCCAGCUCAUUCCAAGCCUGAGGCAGAGCCACCUGGACUGGUGGCAGUGGUCAGAGGAAGGACACAAAAGCUUUGGAACGUGCAUCCCUUGGAGGUUGCUGGUGCUGACUCUGGACAUUUCAUUCCCCAGUGACCUUGUUGUUUCUUCUCCUCAUUUGUGAAGUGUCCUGUUUGCUUUAUAGGCUUGUUUAGACACUCAGAUGAAAUAAUGGAUGAUAUUAUGAAAAUUGUAAGUGACAAUAGAAAUGUAAGAUGCACAUAGGAAUGAGAGAAAUAGAUCCUCAGAAGAAGGAGGAAAACCACCAAGCCUAAAACACUAAGAAGCUAAAGCUCGGGUCUGGAUGAGAAAAAAAAGGCUUAAGAGGACUAAGAUUGCAAAGCCAGGAUGAUGCUGUGUUUUUGCUGACCUCUUUGGAAUAUGGUUGGCUACUAGAAUCCUGGCAGGGCCCUGUAAGAGUCGCUGGCCAGACAGACUCUCGAGCCGGCCUGCCUGGUUUCACACUCUGCCUCACCACUGUGACCAUGUGACCUUGGGUGGGAGACUUUGCUUCUCUUUGCCUCAAUUUUCUUAUCUGUGAAAUGGGGAUAACCACAUUCAUCUCAGAGGAUAGUUGUAAGAAUUAAGAGAAUCCAUUCAUGUGAAGUGAUUCAGAAUAUUUCCAGAAUAGUGUCUGGAAAAUGAUAAGUUCUCAAUAAAUCAGCAAUCAUUAUUUC
ensembl:lncRNA